UAAUUGCCUGUGUUCUGCUCCUGUAACCCU
rnacentral:piRNA from 1 species